GCUCCUAAAGCAAAUUGCACUUCUAUUUUUGAACUUGUUUUAAUUGGGCCUCAGAUCUGCGUAUCUCCAACCUAUUAACCUGGUCACACUGCGUGGUCUGAUCCCCCUCUAACAGCAUGUGAUUAAAUGUGAUUCAUCUGCAUCUCCGCAAGCGCAUGCAAGUGAGGGAACGCUGGUAGUGAAGCAGAUGUGGUUAUUUUCAUGCCAGAUGUUUCUCCUGUAAAUUUAUUUUGUAUUGUUAAACAUUGCCAAGUUGUCUUAGGAGGACUGUGUCUCCUGAUUUAGUGUGAUGAGUAAUGUGCUUUGUUGCACUUUACCAGAGGCUCAAAGUGCUACUGGAAAAGGUGAGACCACAGAACCGGAGUGUGGAUAUCGGUGGCUUUGGAGGAUGCCAGUUACCCGUGUCUGGGAGAGAAGAUCUUUGUGUUUGCUGGGUUGCCUGGACUUGCCAACUUUAUUAAGGAACUUUUAUCUUUUUUUAAGGGCAAGGUAUAGGAGGAAAGAGUAAAGGUUUGGAAUUGCUGAUGUUCCAUAAAAAGCAAAUGUUUAACCGAAAAAGAGUGGCUUGUUUAAGUGGAGAGAGAUCUACUAGGGAGCUUGUGUCUCCCUUGAGAAGACAUGUGGCCAUGGGAUGGGUUUGUUUUGACAAGUAAUUGUCUUUUUUGUGAUCCUGACAAUUCCAGAGCAGACUAAUUACAAUUAAGUACCUUUAGCUUCCUGAGCUUUGCAAACUUACCUUAAAACCAAGCUGAGCUGCCUACCUUAGGGUGCCUGUUUUUCUUCCUGAUGUGAGAAAUGUCUGCCCUUCAAUGAUGCUGUAGAGGUGCAAGAAAAGGAACCAAAUGCCUCCUCCCCCUCAUAGCCUUUGACCUUUUUUUUCCUAAUGGCCCUGGAAACCAGUGCUAAAACUCAUUUGUUCUGAGGCAGCUUUCAGCAGAGGUGCUGAAAUAUCUGAUUUCCAACGAGUACCUGCAUGCGUCAAACACGUUGUGCUUGCUGAAGGCAGGGGAGAUUGCCUGGGAGACAGUUUGAGCUGUUUGUGUUUUCUUUCCAGUCAGGCUUUGCUCCAUCCUACCCUCCACGAGCCAAAGGCUGUGGCAUGGGAGAAUGAGCCCUGAUGUUAUUCUUUAUCUUCAGGCUUCAUUCCAGCCUGAGGAGCCUCACUCUUCUGAAGUCAUCCAAGGAAAGGUAAAGGUGUUUGACAAAAGCACGCAGGAGACAGCUCUCUCAGCCUACUGUGGGAAAGUAUCGUGUUUUCUCUCUCUUAAGCCUUGGAGUCGUGGCUGUAGGAAAUUUAUUACGGUGGCCAGGGAGUGCCGAGAGCCCAAAAUGAAGCUGUCAUCCGUGGGAAGGUGAGACCUGUCAGCAGACAAGGCUGGACAAGAACUGGCACCCAGCAAGGAUGUGAAUCGAGUGGAGAGAGGGCUGGCAGGCGUGCAGAGAAAGUGGAGGAGGAGGAAGGCAGGAAGCAGCUGGCAGCGUAGGAAGAAGCCACUGUUUUAAUAGGAUUACCUUUGGCAUCACUCCGUGGAAUCCUUAAUUCGUCGCUCCAUAUCUUCCAUGUGAAGUCGUCUCAGCAGAUCCAAUCAGAGAAACAGAAAGUCAAACAGCUUCAAGC